CUACUAUUUCUCCUGUUGCAAGAGUCCAAGGUAAGCAAAAACAUUUCAUCUCGUAAGUGACUUGUUGUUCUUGCGCAUAACCGUGGACUUGCUGUUAUGUU